rnacentral:rRNA from 1 species
CCUACGGGUGGCAGCAGUGAGGAAUAUUGGUCAAUGGGCGCGAGCCUGAACCAGCCAAGUAGCGUGAAGGAUGACUGCCCUACGGGUUGUAAACUUCUUUUAUAAAGGACUAAAGUGAGGCACGUGGGCCUUUUGGAAUGCACUUUAUGAAUAAGGAUGCGCUAACGCCGUUCCAGCAGCCGCGGUAAUACGGCGGAUCCGAGCGUUAUCCGGCUUUAUUGGGUUUAAGGGGAGCGUAGAUGGGUUGGUAAGUCAGUUGUGAAAGUGUGCGGCUCAACCGUAAAAUUGCAAUUGAUACUGGCAGUCUUGAGUACAGGUGAGGUAGGCGGAAUUCGUGGUGUAGCGGUGAAAUGCUUAGAUAUCACGAAGAACUCCGAUUGCGAAGGCAGCUUACUAAACUGCCACUGACAUUGAUGCUCGAAAGUGUGGGUAUCAAACAGGAUUAGAUACCCCGGUAGUC